rnacentral:rRNA from 1 species
GAUGAACGCUGGCGGCGUGCCUAAUACAUGCAAGUCGAGCGAGCGGACGAGAAGCUUGCUUCUCUGAUGUUAGCGGCGGACGGGUGAGUAACACGUGGAUAACCUACCUAUAAGACUGGGAUAACUUCGGGAAACCGGAGCUAAUACCGGAUAAUAUUUUGAACCGCAUGGUUCAAAAGUGAAAGACGGUCUUGCUGUCACUUAUAGAUGGAUCCGCGCUGCAUUAGCUAGUUGGUAAGGUAACGGCUUACCAAGGCAACGAUGCAUAGCCGACCUGAGAGGGUGAUCGGCCACACUGGAACUGAGACACGGUCCAGACUCCUACGGGAGGCAGCAGUAGGGAAUCUUCCGCAAUGGGCGAAAGCCUGACGGAGCAACGCCGCGUGAGUGAUGAAGGUCCUCGGAUCGUAAAACUCUGUUAUUAGGGAAGAACAUAUGUGUAAGUAACUGUGCACAUCUUGACGGUACCUAAUCAGAAAGCCACGGCUAACUACGUG